rnacentral:rRNA from 1 species
UACGUAGGGUGCGAGCGUUAAUCGGAAUUACUGGGCGUAAAGCGUGCGCAGGCGGUCCGCUAAGACCGAUGUGAAAUCCCCGGGCUUAACCUGGGAACUGCAUUGGUGACUGGCGGGCUGGAGUAUGGCAGAGGGGGGUAGAAUUCCACGUGUAGCAGUGAAAUGCGUAGAUAUCAGAAGGAACAUCAGUGGCGAAGGCGGCUUCCUGGACCAAUACUGACGAUCAGGUGCGAAAGCGUGGGGAGCAAACAGG